rnacentral:tRNA from 1 species
GCGUCUGUAGCCUAGUGGUAAAGGCAGCACUCUAGUACACUGAGGUCAUGGGUUCGAAUCCCAUCAGACACA